GACGAACGCUGGCGGCGUGCUUAACACAUGCAAGUCGAACGAUGAAACCUAGCUUGCUAGGUCGAUUAGUGGCGAACGGGCGAGUAACACGUGACUAACCUGCCCCUUUCUCUGGGAUAACGCUCCGAAAGGAGUGCUAAUACCGGAUACUCACAUCGAGGCACAUGCCUUGAUGUGGAAAGUUUUUCGGAAAGGGAUGGAGUCGCGGCCUAUCAGCUUGUUGGUGAGGUAACGGCUCACCAAGGCGACGACGGGUAGCCGGCCUGAGAGGGCGACCGGCCACACUGGGACUGAGACACGGCCCAGACUCCUACGGGAGGCAGCAGUGGGGAAUAUUGCACAAUGGGCGCAAGCCUGAUGCAGCGACGCCGCGUGAGGGAUGAAGGUCUUCGGAUUGUAAACCUCUUUCAGUAGGGACGAAGCGAAAGUGACGGUACCUAAAGAAGAAGCACCGGCUAACUACGUGCCAGCAGCCGCAGUAA
rnacentral:rRNA from 1 species